rnacentral:rRNA from 1 species
CACGGAGUUAGCCGGUGCUUAUUCGUACAGUACCUUCAGCUACUCUCACGAGAGUAGGUUUAUCCCUGUACAAAAGAAGUUUACAACCCAUAGGGCCGUCAUCCUUCACGCGGGAUGGCUGGAUCAGGCGCUAACCCAUUGUCCAAUAUUCCUCACUGCUGCCUCCCGUAGGAGUCUGGUCCGUGUCUCAGUACCAGUGUGGGGGAUCACCCUCUCAGGCCCCCUAAAGAUCAUCGACUUGGUGAGCCGUUACCUCACCAACUAUCUAAUCUUGCGCGUGCCCAUCUCUAUCCACCGGAGUUUUCAAUAAUCAAUGAUGCCAUCAAUUAUAUUAUGGGGUAUUAAUCUUCCUUUCGAAAGGCUAUCCCCCAGAUAAAGGCAGGUUGCACACGUGUUCCGCACCCGUACGCCGCUCUCUCUGUCCCGAAAGACAAAUACCGCUCGGCUUGCAUGUGUUAGGCCUCCCGCUAGCGUUCAUCCUGAGCCAGGAUCAAACUCUC